GAGAACCACUGUCCAAAAUGAACUAUCAGGGGAGGGUAAAGGACAGGGAAACUAUGGAAAGGGUCCUAGAAAGAACAAAGAAUGCAAAGAAAUCCAUGAAGAGGAGGCUGAAGAACAACUGGGAUCACUGACCCCCCAGGAAAUACCACUUCCUAAUUCAUGAUCAUGCAUGAAAGCUGACCCAGAUACGCCAGACAUCACGGGAAGGAAGAGAGGUCUCUGUCCUCCUCCAUCAGCACCUCAGGGACCUCCUCAUCCACAGUGACCUUGGCAGCGACUGGGGACAGGGCUUCCGAGAACAACUGGCUGAGGGAUGCAGGCUAGCAGAGCGCCUUGUCCACAAGCUUAGCCCAGAAAACCUGGAAGACGAUGAAGAUGAGGAAGAACAAGAAUCACUGACCCCCCAGUCUGGAGAGGGAGCUGCAGGAGGCGAAUGUGAAUGAAAUCCUUCAAGAUCCAUCAGUGAACAGAAUUUGACUCCUUCCAGUCCUUGUGAUCUGUCUGCCUCCGGGGAGCCCCUCAGAAGCACUGCCUUUCCAUGUGAUGAGCCUCAAGUCAGCU
rnacentral:lncRNA from 1 species